rnacentral:lncRNA from 1 species
GAUCUUCAUAUAAGGAAUGACCCAGAUGAUUAUAUAAAUCUACAUUUAAUUUUCAUUAGAAUUAUCCUAGGUAGUGCUUGAACUUUAAAUCCUGUAGAGUAGAAGCAAAUCUGUGUUUGCAAUAGAAAUUGCCAGAAGAAAGAACAAGGAAGACAUUUAGAUAAUUUCAUCUGGGUGUGCAAAGUCAUCACAAGAUCCAUCUUUCCAUUAUCUGGAAGUUGGGAGCCACCUGUUUUUCAUGACGGUCUGACGGUUGGAAUGAGAAGCUCACUGACAGCACCAGGGGCCUCCUAGAACUGGCUUCCAGUAAUUCUAUUUCUGCACCA